GCUUGAAUUCCUUGACUUUUGGCUUCUAUAAAUCUAUUAUUUUUUUGGUUUUUAGUUACCAUGGUUUUCUAGUAUGUCGACCAAUAGCCACACCUACUUAUUUUAAACUGAUAGUCAUGUAAGUUCAAACACAUUCUAAAAGAUCAGUUUUUUUUUUUACUUUCCUCCUGCACAUUUUGUGAUUUUGAUGCCCUAUUUUACAUCUUCAUGUUUAUCCUUUUGCUGUUAAUAGCUAUAAUCACUUUUACAAAAUUUUUUGGUUGUUUUUUAAUCUAUGUGCUGGUUUAUUUAAGUGAUCUUCAAUCCUUUUCUAUAUUUGCUUGUUCUAUUGUGAUUUUUCCCUUUCCAUAGACUCUUGUUUCUUUUCUGUUUAGAGAAGAUCCUUUAAGUUUUCUUUUAGGGUAGGUUUUAUAUUGCUAAAUUCUUUUCAUUUUUGCUUGUCUGAGGAAUUGUUUAUUUCUCCUUCUAUUCUUAAUGAUAAUCUGCUUGGUAGAAUAUACUAGGUUUCAGGUUUUUCUCUUUCAAAUUUUGAAUAUAUGCCACUCCCUCUGCCCUGCAGAGCUUCUGCAGAGAAAUCAGCUGAUAGCCUUAUGGGGGUUCCUUUGUAAUUAAGAUCUUUUUGUUGCUUCCUUUAAAAUCCCUUUUCUGUAAAAUUUGCCACUUCUGAUAUAUGUUGGUGAGGGUCUGUUUGGGUUCAUCUUGUUUGGGACCUCUUGUGCUUCCUGUGCCUGAGUAUUUGUGUUCUUUUUUUAAGUUUGGGAUAUUUUCAGCCAUAAUUUCAUUAAAUAUAUUUUUGAUCCCCUUCUCUCUUCUCAUCGUCCUGGAACCUUGAUUAGAUGUAGUUUCAGUUCAGUUCAGUUUAUUCGCUCAGUCGUGUCCAUCUCUUUGUGACCCCAUGAACCACACCAGGGAGGCACACCAGGCCUCCCCGUCCAUCACCAACUCCUGGAGUUUACCCAGACUCACGUCCAUUGAGUCGGUGAUGCCAUCCAGCCAUCUCAUCCUCUGUCGUCCCCUUCUCCUCCUGCCCUCAAUCUUUGGCAAGCUUUUAAUUAUCCCACGGACCUCAUGUUGCUUUCACUUUUUAAGUUUGUCUUUCCCUCCACUGUUCUGUGGGCGACUUCCAAUAUUCUAUCUUCCAGAUUACUUAUUUCUUACUUAAGUCUGCUGUUGGUUGCUUCAAGGUUGGUUUUUACCUUGGCAGUUGACUUGUCUAAUUUUGAUUGGUGUAUCUUUAUAAUGUCUAGUUCCUUGUUCCCUGUUAUACAUUUCUAUUUAUAAUUUCUAGUUCCUUGCUAUGUGUUCUGCAUUUCUAUGGGUAACCUUUGUUAAUUCCUUUAGCAUUUCUAAUACCUUUUUUAAUAUUUGGGGUUUCAUAGACUAGUGAGGUCUGUUUUAUCGUUUGUUCUUUCAGAGGAUUUAUCCUGUUCUUUUCAUUGGGAGUAGUUCUUUUUCUUUUCUUAUUUUACUUAACUUUCUUGGUCUCUAUGAAUUCAGGAGAAACAGUUAUCUACUGUGGUCUUAAAGGGGUUUGCUUAUGUGGGAGCAUCACUAUGCAGAUUGUGUGAGCCAGUGCUUUUGGUGUAAGGACUGUUUUUGGCAUGCUGCGAGCCUUGUCUUUCCUUAGAGUGUGCUGGCUGUUAUCCCCUUGAUAAGAGUGUGGUUGCUGUUGUGAAGUCCAGACCUGUGCUGGAUGUGGGCAGGGCUCUUCUUUGCUCAGUGGCUGCCACAGCCCUGCUGGGGGGUAGGUUCUACUCUGCAGUUGUUGCCGUAGGAGCCCUGAAGGUUGGGUUUGGUAAGGCUUUGUUGCCCUUGAGUACAUGUGUCCCAAAGGAGGUGACUGCUAAAGCACAUGAAGCCCAUAUGGCCACAAGUGAACUUAUGCGCAACCUGUGUGAGCGUCUGCAGUUCUGCCCAAAGCAGCUCGAGGUAAAUAUCCUUUCUCUGUUGCGUUCAUCCUGGAUCUAGUGUUAGGCUGUAGUGUGGAAUGGGCUGGUGCUGAGUACCGAGGAGUUAAGAAUUGAGAUUUUGCAUCCACCUGGGACCAACCUGGGCUGACUCUGUGGCAGACCUUCCCCAGGACUUCUCUGCCCCAUAUCUGGCUCCAGGCUGCAGUGCAGGGUUGGUGGAGCUGGAGUGCUUCCACAAGGAAGCAAACUACUGUGUAGUCCUCUCCAGGGCCUGUCCAUGGAGAUUUGCAUUUCUGUGGUACCACCAGGUAUGUGCUGCAGAAGACCCAUCACAACUGGACCCAUUAUCACAGUGCAGAUGCUGUCACUGGGCUCAAAGCCAGACCCACCCCAGCCAUGCCCUUGCUAAUGAACUCCUCAAUUCAGCUUGGACCACCUCAGACACUCUGGGCUCUCUCGACACAACUAUACCGCGUUCUCUCCCGGGGAUCAACCACCCAGGAUUUAAUGUUUAGACACUACCUGUGGGGCCCGGCAAACAGACCUGGGGCCCCUCACUGGCCACCAGAGACAGGUGAUCAAAGAGUGUGUCCUUUGGAUGGCAGCUGUCAAAACUAGGGAGCUAGAUGUAUUCACAAACUCCUUAGGGAGACAGGUGAGCAGUUUCACUGUGAGUAUUUUCUUAUUCAGCUGAGAUGUGGGCAUUGCUCAGCUACAUUCAAGAUUUCUUUUAGAGGGAACAGCUUCUUGUGUAGCUAUGGAUUUAGUGUACCCAGAGGAGGAAUUGAGUUUAGGAGCCUCCUAUGUUGCUAUCUUGGACCUGAAGUCAGAACUAAUUGACUUUGGUCAAGAAGAUGUCAAGGAUAUUACAGUUAAGGGUCUAGAAGUAGUAAGAUGUUGUAGUCAAGUUUAUCUGGAAGCCUAUUCCUCAGUCCUAACUGUUGAGAAGGAAGUCCUGGUAGAUGCUUCAGUUUCUCCAGUUUUCUGGGGAAAUUUUUACAAAAAUAAAUUCAAGAUAGAUUAGACUCGAACAUAAGACCUGAAACCAUAAAACUCCUAGAAGAAAGCACAGAGGGAAAGCUCCUUGAUAUUGAUCUUAGCAAUAAUUUUUUGAAUAUCAAAAGCAAAGGAAAAAAAUAAAAAACAAGUGAGGCUACCUCAAACGAAGAAACUUCUACACAGUCAAGAAAACAUUCAACAAAAGAAAAGUUAGUCUAUGAAAUGGAGAGAAAAUAUUUGAAAAUCAUGUGUCUCAUAAAGGAUUAAAAUCCAAAAUAUGUAAAGAAUUCAUACACUCAAUAGCAAAACCCAAACAAUCUGAUUAAAAAGAGAGGAAGUGAAUUAACAUUUUUCUAGAGAAGACAUACAAAUGCCCAAUCGGUACAUGAAAAGAUGCUUAACAGCACUAAUCAUCACGGAAAUGCAUGUCAAAAUUACUGUUAUCACCUCACACAUGUUAGAAUGGUUGUCAUCACAAAGAGAAGGGAUAACAAGUGUCAGUGAGGAUGUAUAGAUUCUCCACACCUUAGGAUCCAGCAAGCAUACUUCUGGGUAUAUAACCAAAUGUGUUCAAUGGAUGAAUGAAUAAAGAAGGUGUAUGAUGUGUGAGUGUGUGCGUAAAAUUCAGCCAUGAGAAAGAAAAAAAAACCUUGCCACUUGCAACAAUGUGGAUGGACAUUGAGCAUAUUAUGCUAAACAAAAUAAGUAAGAGAAAGACCAGUGCUGAAUGGUAUCACUUAUAUGGGGAACUUCAACAACAACAUCAAACUUAUACAGAAACAGAGAGAAAGUGGUUGCCAGAGCGUGGGGAAUUAGGGAGAGGUUGGUAAAAUAGUAUAAACUUUGAGCUAUAAACUGAGUAUGGUCUGAGGAUCUAAUGUAAAAACCUGAUGAUUAUAGUUGAUAACACCAUAUUGUACAAUUAAAGUUUGCUUAGAAAGUAGAACUUAAAUGUUUUCAUAGAAUAAGCAAACUUCGGUCCCAAGAAUCACUCCACUUUCUAACUUGCAUAUUACCCUUUCUUUCCCUUCUUGUCCUCUCCUGGCUAUUCCCUGCUCAGCUGAAAGAACACUCUAUUGAACACCUGUUGCAAAUAGCUUUUCAGUUCAGUUCAGUCGCUCAGUCAUGUCCGACUAUUUGCGACGCCAUGAAUUGCAGCACGCCAGGCCUCCCUGUCCAUCACCAAUUCCUGGAGUCUACUCAAACCCAUGUCCAUCGAGUCGGUGACACCAUCCAGCCAUCUCAUCCUCUGUUGUCCCCUUCUCCUCCUGCCCCCAAUCCUUUCCAGCAUUAGGGUCUUUUCUAAUGAGUCAACUCUUUGCAUGAGGUGGCCAAAGUCAAUAUUGGAGUUUCAGCUUCAACAUCAGUCCUUCCAAUGAACACCCAGUACUGAUCUCCUUUAAAUAGCUUUUAAGAAACAAUUUUAUAACAAGUCUUGUUAAACACUUCAGUAAAUACAUUCUGGAAUAGUGUCACUCCCAUUUGCUUAGAUAACACAGUGUUGAAAACAUGUUCCAACUAGCCAAUAAUUUUUUUUUUUUUUUAUAGUCAGAGGAGUCUAAGAUGAUGGCAUAGGAAUACUUUGAGUUCAUCUCCUGCUACAGACACACUAAUCUACACCUACAUACAGAGCAGUUUCUCCUGAAGACUACCUGAGGGCAGAAUGAACAACUACUACACAUAAAAGGACCACACAGAAUCAGAGGUGAAAGAUGGAGAUAGGAAUCCCACACUCAGUGCAAUGAUCUGUGGUAAAGAGGCAUAUUGCUGAGGCACCAGGCUGCACAUACCCCUGCUUUUGGAUAUUUGAAAAAACAGUGGUUUAAAAGGUACCUACACUAUCUGACAAGAAAUCCAUUUGCUAACACUAGAGGUUCUGCCAAAUGGGCAGGAACCUGAUGGAGCUAUCUCUGUAUGUUGGCAUUGGUGAGUGCCAUUUUGAGGCCCUUGAGAGUCUCAUUGUCCCGGACCCACUCCAGCUCUAUCCAUACCCUCGGGGGUUAUGCUGCCUUAGGGCUGCCCACAGCUCUCGCCCACUUCAGCCCACACCAGCCUGCCGUUUCAGCCUCAGGAGCAGUUCACCCUGUGGACUGAGCUGGUCUUUUACCCCUCCAGCUCCAUCUCUCUCAGCCUGCACCCACUCCAGCCCCAGCCAAACCUGUCGAAGCCCCCAGGUGAAAGCAGUCUACACAAGGAUGAUCUCACACAAGACCAGGAAAAGUGGCUAUUUUGCCUAACUCAAAUAAAAACCAAAUGUCAAAGAAGAGAGAUGAACAUGUUUCAGAUGAAAGAACAACAACAAAAAUGCAGGAAAAACCCCUAAUGAAACAGAGAUAAGUAAUUUGCCUGAAAAAGUGUUCAGAGAAAUAGUUAUUGAACUUGGGAGAAGAAUGGAGGAACUCGGAACUUCAACAAAAUCUUAGAAAAUAUAAGAAGGAACUAACCAAGUUAAAGAAUAGCUGAAAUUUUAAAAUCCUAGAGGCAUUCAACAGAUGAUACAGAAGAAUGGAAAAGAAAUCUGAAAGAUAGAAUAGGAAAUUGCCCAAUCAGAACAGCAAAAAGAAGAAAUAAUUUUCUAAAAUGAGAAGAGUUUAAGGUACUUCUAGGACAACAUCAAGUGUACUAACAUUUGGAUCAUCGUAGUCUCAGACAAACAGAGAAAGAGAUAGAAAGAAAAUUUUUGCCACUUUAUUUAAUUGAAGGAUUGUGGUUUUCUGUCAUACAUUAACAAGAAUCAUACAUAGGUACACCCCUGUCCCCUCCCUCCUGAACCUCCCUCCCCAUUCCACACUUCAAGAUUGUCAGAGUCCCUGUUUGAAUUCCCUGAGUCAUAUGGCAAAUUCCCAUUGCCUGUCUAUUUUACAUAUGGUAUUGUAAGUUUCCAUGUUACUCUCUCCAUACAACUGCCUCCUCCCCUCCCCCCAUGUUCAUAGGUCUGUUCUCUAUGUCUGUUUCUCCAGAGAGAAUUUAUUUGAAGGGAUAAUCACUAAAAUUCUUCCUAACCGGGGGAAUGAAACAGACAUCCAGGUGCAGGAAGCACAGAGGGUUCCAAACAAGAUGUGCACAGAGAGAUCCAUACCAAGAUGUAUUAUGAUUUGAAUGGCAUAUGUCAUAAACAGUCUUAAAAGCAUCAAGAAAAAACAGCUAAGACAAAGGAACUCCCAUAAGACUAUCAACUGAUUUUUCAGCAGAAAGGGGAAGAAUAAAGGGAGAAUUAUAGGCCAGGGGGCGUGGUAAGAUAUUUAAAAAGCUGAAUAUUCUAUCUAGCAAAAUUAUUCAGAUUUGAAAGAGAGACAGUUUCCCAGAGAAGAAAAACUAAAGGAGUUCAGCAUUAAUAAUGUGACCUUACAAGAAGUAUUAGUCUUCUUUAUGCAGACGAGAAAAGGCCACAACUAGGAAUUACAAAGCAUAUGGGAAAAAAAAAGAUCUCACUGGUAAAGGCAAGUACAUGGUAAAGGCAGUAGACCAGCCACUUAAAAAGCCAGCAUGGAGCUUAAAAGACAAAAGUAGUGAAAUCAACUAUAACUACAAUAAGUAGUUAAGGGAUAUACAAAAUUAAAAGAUGUAAAAUGUGAUAUCAAAAAUAGAUUCCACUCUUAAAGGGCACACAAAUUCUCACAUGCUUCAGGACCCAGGACAAAAACGGUAAUUUGAAAAGAUCUCAGCUCAGACUCACUUGCUGACAUUUAAAGGCCUCCCAGAGAGGUAGGAAGCAACUGGAACUCACCUUGGGUACACAGAUGAUGGUGAGAGUCAUUAUUGGGAAUUCAUCCUACCAUAAGAACACUGGCAAGUAUCAUUUUUCUAUCCUCCCUCUAGUUUAUUCAAAACAGGACCCAGCCCAGUUCACCAACCUGUCAGUGCUAGUCGUGGGACGCCCCAGCCCAAGCAACUAGCCAGAUAGUGACACAGUUUCACCCAUCAGCAGACUGGCUGCCGUAGAAAGUGCUAAGUCCCCUGCAGCACUGAGACCCUCGCCCACCCACCACAGGGCUCAGGACCCACCCCCACUCACAGUCGGGCUGACACUAGUUCCAGGACCCACGGGGCCACACAAACAGCUACUCCUGGAUCUGGACCUACCAGCCGCAAGCCAACACCAGUUCUGUGGCCCCUUAGGCCGUGAUCCCACAUAGCAGCAGGCUGACACUAGCCCCAGGCCUCCCAGCCCCACAGAAAGCUACCCUCAGACACAGCUCCAUCCACCAGCAUUCUGACACUAUCUGAGGACUCCCCCCGACCCAGGCUGUGGUGCCACCCACCAGCAGGUGGGUGCCAGAACUGGGACUCCUCAGACCAUGCAACCAGCUGUGACAGGACCCGCCCCCACCCACCAGCAGUCAACAAACUCCAUACUAAGCCGGACCCGGCAACCAACAGGGCUGGAGACUCGCCACAUCAACCAGCAUGUCCACAGUAGCCAGCCGGCCACGGCAGAAGGGCCCACGGGGCACACACAGAGGGCUCGCCUGGAGAAGACAGCUCUGGUGACUAGAGGGUGCGGCUGGACCUCACAGGAUGUCUCCCACACAAGGCCACUUCUCCAGGAUCAGGAAACAGCCACCCUACCAAAUGCAUAGAAAUAAAAACAGAAUUGGCAAAAUGAGGUGACACAGGAAUGUGCUUCAAACAAAAGAACAAACUAAAAUCCAAGAAAAAGAGAUAAGUGAGUAGAGAUAAGCAUUCUACUGUGUAUAUAAUUAAGUGUAAUGAUCAUAAAGAUGCUCAAAGAAUGUGGGAGAAAAAGGAAUAACAUAGUGAGAAGUUAGAAGUUUCUAACAAAGAGAACCAGAGAUGAUGAAUACAAUAACUGAAAUUAAAAAUUCACAAGAAGGAGUCAAUAACAGAAUAGAUCAUACAAAGGAAUGAAUCAGUGAACUGAAGAUGGAGUUAGUGGAUGUCACUCCACUAAGCUGAACAGAAAAUAACUUUUUAAAAAUGAGAACAGUUUAAGAGAUUGGUGGGACAAUAUCAAGUGUACUAACAUUCACAUUAUGGGGUCCCAGAAGGAGAAUAAGAGAGAAAGGAACAGAGAACACAUUUGCAGAUGUAACAGGUGAAAACUUUUCUAACCUGAAAAAGAAAACACACACUCUAGGUCCAGGAAUCAUAUAGAAUCUCAACAAGAUCAACUCAAAGAGGAUCACACCAACAAGCAUUGUAAUUUAAAUGGCAAAAAUUAAGAUAAAGAAUAUUAAAAGAAGUGAGGGCAAAGUAAUGAGUUACAUACAAAGAAACUCCCAUAAGAUCAUCAGUUCAUUUUUCAGCAGAAACUGGACACUAGAAGGGAGUGGCACAAUAAAUUUUAAGUCAUGAAAGCAUCUGAAAUCAAGAAUAUUCUAUUCAGCAAGUCUCUCAUUCAGAUUUGAUUGAGAGAUCAAAAGUUUUACAAAACAGCAAAGCUGAAAGAAUUUGUCACCAUGAAACCAGCCUUAUAAGAUAUGUUAAAGAGAUUUCCCUAAGCAGAAAAGCUUACAAUAAGAAAUAGGAAAAUUAAAAAAGGAAUAAUCUCAUUUGUAAAGCCAAACAUCUAGUAAAGAUCAGCCAUAUAUAAAA